ensembl:lncRNA
GAACAACAAUAAUAAUAAUAAUAAGAAGAAAACGAAGAAGAAGAAGAAUUAAAGAACCAGGAGAAAGGGACAGACAGCCAGAGCUGGCUGUGGCAGGAACAAGGGAGCAGGGGGAAAGGGUGAAGAAGAGAUGGGACUUCAUGGGCUUUUGUGAAAGCUUGAAAGAAUGGAAGCAGCUCCAAAAUAAAAAGCAGAACAGGGAGUCCCUGCAAUCCCCCUGGUACAAUGCGUGGUGUGGUGCCCCCUGGAGGUGGAUAUCACUGAUGAUAAACAUGCUCCCCCAUGGCCUUGCUCACGCGUGCCAGGCCAUCGAGGAGGAGCAGGACAACGACAGAGAGGAGAGGAUCUUGGCUAUCCUGGGAAUAGUUGGCACCAUUCUCAACCUGCUGGUGGUCAUCUUUGUCUACAUCUACACCACCAUCUGAAAACUGGAGUGGGAGAAGAGCCAUCCAAAGAUCUGAGAGGGAAAAGACUGGAAAGAUUUGGAUUAGUAUAUACACUCAGUGAGGACAGGAGAAGAUGAGAAGAAUGGACUAAUGGACUACUUCAUUUUCCAAAAUAUAAAUAUCAUUCACAAUCAUCAUUCAUGCAAAGUAAAUCUGAAUAGUGUCCACCAUUUUCACCAUUAAUUUAAAAAAACUCCAUGUUUGAACUAUUACGUUUGAAUUAUUAUCUUUGAAUGCUUUACUUACUAAGUUGUGUUGUAAAUAUUUGACCAAUGGCAUGGCGUUCUACUGUAUUUCUCAUGGCAUGGCAUUCUAAUCUAUUUCUUAUGCAAUUGAUUGAUUGAUUAGUGACGGUUAAGCGUUUGCCAACUUUAACGAUAACCCUUUCAACAAGAAGCACUGCAGAUAAUGGAGGCAUCUGCUCAGGACACAGUUGCAACACUUGCUGGAUGUCUUACUUUGAGCAAAUCUGUUAAAAGGAGGGACAUUUCCCUGAAAUAUGCAAACAGGACAGCAUCCUCCGGCUCCAUAUACACUACUAGAGGAAUAAAUAUCAACAUGUACUUUAUACUUCAUGAGCUUUUCUCGACUAACAAAGUUGACAAAACGUGAUAUUGAGAUUCCUAUAUGGAAG